CUAACAAGUGGUUUAAAUGCAGAUCCACCAAACUCUGCACAAACACCAACCCCAUAAACAGCUGCCUGACGAACAUCUGGAUUUUCAUCAUUGCAGGCCUCCAAAAGGAAAGGAACAUAAGUAUCAUAAUAUUUAAUAGCUGCUUCCCGGCAUUGCUCCACAACAUCAUCAAAUAUGCAAAUGGCAAUUCUCCUCUCUUCUGCUGUUUUAUCCUUACCCCACAUGGGUGUUAUGUAAGAUGAGAGCUCAUCAAAGAAAGGCAAGAAAGAGACCCUAAAGGUCUUAAUUAGCGUGCCCAAUAAUUCACCAACUUGAUCAAAGAUUUCUUCUUCUUGCUCAUUUUCUUCCUUAAGUAACUCCCCUUCUUCUGCAUCAAAGUCCUCUGCUUUGGCCCUCUCUGCUCUUUCCUGUUUCCUGGCUGUGCUGGCUGUGAUGACCUGUUUCACCUCAUCUACAAUGGACCUUACUUGGUUUUCAUCUAAAAUAGGUCCAGAAACCUGUACACACUCCGUCAAUGAAUCCAACAUGCUUGCACAAAUUUCCACCUCUGGCUCCUUGUGUAAAGCCUCCAUCAAAGCUGGUAUAAUGUAAUCAGACAGUUGCUUCAAAUAUGACUCAUUACGUCCAUGAGAUUGACCUUUUUCUAUAGCUAGCUUAGCUGAACGUAGUAGUUCUGGCAUAGCUGAAACAGC
rnacentral:misc_RNA from 1 species